GGUCUCGAACUCCUGGGCUCAAGUUAUCCUCCUGCCUCGGCCUCCCAAAGUGCUGGGAUUAUAGGCAUGAGCCAUCAUGCCCAGCCCUCCUUAAUUUUUUAACAUGAAUUAAUAGGACCUGGACACACACAGCCUCAUUUAUAUGAGCAGCCAUCACAGCCUGCCACGUGUCAGAUGAGGUCUCUGGGGCUCUCACUUCUUGCACUGGGGCUGAUGCCACAUGUGGCCCAGCUGUAGGUCACAUUCAUCUCCUGCGUUCUCCAGGAUCAGAUGUAAUACCAGCACAUCUUACCCUCGUGUGCCCUGGGAGUUUGUAAUAAUGUAUGAAUACAUAGGUUUAUUUCAGAGAACAUUUUCAGAAUCUUGUCGCACAUGUGCACAAAAAUAUUGGCUGCAGUGUGUUUAUAACCAUGAAAACUCCAAAAUAGCUUCAAUCUCCUGUGAAAGGGGAGUGGUUGAAGGCCCUCCAGCACGUGCACAGAAUUCUUUCUUCAGCCAUUGAAACAUGAAAAUGAUGGUUAAAAAUGACUCCAUUAUGGGGAAAAGGGACAGGAUGCAAAUUGUUCAAAUGGCUUGAUGAUAUGAUGGCAUGAUGUAUGAUAAGGAAAGAAAAAGAUGUUGUAAAAGGUCACAUAAAGUCACCCACAGAUCAGCAGUCAUGCCAUGAUUAGCUGCUCUGUGCCAGACACACAGGCUGGAAAUUGGUAGGUGCUCACCCCAGGAAGUGGGCAGCUGCCCCUCUGUGCCUCUGUUGCCUCUGUUAGGCUCCUGGAAGCCCCUUUCAUUGCUGCAUGUAAUGACAUCUUCAUCACCACAUGUAACAGCUUCUUUACAACCAUGUGUAAUGUAUUCUGUGUGCUUAUUGGGCUAAACCAUCACAGAGGAAAAGAGUGCUGGAGAAAUGCCAGGGAUAUCGGUACGGAAAUGUUCCAGAUGGAAAGUCUCGGCUUCAGGUGAACGUAGCAAUGAAUGUCAGGGUCAAACAGGGGGUGUGUUCUUGGGAGAGCGUCAGCUCGUCUGUGACCUAGUGUUCAGCCAGCUUCCUGGAAAGGAAGCUUCCUGACAUUGAAACCCUGUGUGCUAGGAUGAGUGUGUUACGCAGAGCCUUACAAAUAGGAAAAUCUUGCAUCCUCAGGACAGGCGGUUAGUGUUGCUGUCUGGAAUCCAUCGGCUACAUCCCUCCUCCCUCCACUACUUAAAAUUCCCUGAAUCUGACAGUGGUAGGGAAAGGGCUGAUCCUGGAGACGACUGCUCCUUGAUAAUCCUAGUAUGGUUCAUAAUGGUUGCAGCAGAUGAGCCCUGAGGUCCGUGGCUCAGUCUGCAGCUGAGGAAGGCUCUUCCCUGGGGAGGUGUGUCCAGCUUCUCGGGAAGACCUCAGCUGUCUAUCUGGCCUGGGCUGCCCAGUUCUUAGCAGUGUGUCAGUGAUCAGCAGCCCCUGACCAUCAGGCAGCAUUUCCCACCUGCCAGAGAACAUCAGAGCCACUGUGUCUGGACCAGCUGAAGGCAGCCACGGUGCCCAGGAUGCUGCUGCUGCCUCCAAGGAAAAGAAUUCUGAAAAUGCUCUAUUCAAUUCCAGUUUCCAUCAGAGAAUCUUAUUUUUCUUUUGGGAAAUGUUUCCUGAUUUUCUUCUUUUCCACCACCCCUCCCUGAGGCUGGGUAAAGUGCUUCUUCUGCAUGAUGCUUAGAACCCAGGCCUCCUGUGACAGGGCUCUCUGCACCUUAUGAUUUAUUGUGUGAUGUCUCAGUAUGUUUUCUGCGGAGAAGCAGAGAAGCUCUGGUAAACAGAAUGGCCCUCUAAAGAUGCCCACGCCCUAGUCUCUGAUGUUAUGCCUAUGAAUGAAUAUAUUACUUUAUACAGCAAAGGGGACUUUGCAGAUGUACUUAAGGUUACUAAUCAAUUGACUUCUAAUAGGGAGAUUAUCCUCGGUUAUCCAGGCAGGCCCAAUCCAAUCACAUGGGCCCUUGAAAGCAGAGAUUUUCUCUGAUUGUGCUCAGGAAGAUGCCGUGAAAGAUUCUAAGUGUGAGAAGGAUUUGAUGUGCCACUGCUGGCUCUGAAAUGUGGGGUCCACUUGUAGGAACUGGAGGGAGAGACUGGUUGCUAAGGGUGGCCCCUAGCUGAUAGCCAACAGAGAAAUGGGGACCCCUCCCCAUCCUACAGCUGCAGGGAACUGACUUCAGAACAUGAAUAAGUUUGGAAGAGGAUCCUUCCAGAACCUCCUGAUAGGAGCCCAGUCUGCUGUCACCUUGAAUUCAGCUUCGUGAACCAGGAGCAGGGAAACCAGCUGAGCCAACCCACACUCUGACCUAAGGAGCACUGAGUUGAGGACGUGGAAGUGCUGAGAUGCAACAUAAGUUCCCCCAAAUUACUCAGCUACUUGAGGCACAGCUGACAUCCAGAAGCUUCUCCGGGAAGGCUUUUGGAGUUCCCCAAGGCAGAGUCAACAAGAACGUAAGUUCCUUGAGAAGAGGGACUGUGUGCCUCACUCACUGUCAUCUCCCCACCACCUGCUGCAAAGUGGACAUUCUGUUAAUAGUUACUGAGUGAAUAGACGCAGGAAGUUCAGCCUUUUUUGAUCUAAUUUCUUGCUCAAAGCUCAUCACAGCAUUCAACAUGUGGCCUCCUCACUAACCUGUGCAUCCCCCAAGUCCAGGACCAUGUCAGAUUGUCUUUGAAUCCCUCAGCCCCAGUCCCAGACCUGCACGAGAGCAGGUGUUCAGCAAAUGAAUAUCGAAUUGUGGAAAACAGGGAUCUCUCCAUUCUGGAUUCAAAACAGCGCCCUUCCUGUGAAGCUUUUCUGAGCCCUUUCACACUGAAGUUCUCCAAACCUUCGUGUUGACACUAUCUGCCUGCUGCCCUCAGUCCGGGAGCAACUUGGACAUCAGCCCUACCUGUCACACUGGGGUUGGUGCACCUGGCCUGUUCCGGGACAGAUCGCAAGGCUGAGGGUUAAGUAACACCUGGAGUGGUUAGGAGGCUGGGCACCUCCUUCUUGUGAAUCUCCCGGGCUGCGUGGCGGGUGGCGGGUGGCUGGCAGGGGAGGACCCUUGGCACUGCUGUGGCUUUGCAUUUGCUGCCAGCGGGGCCUUUGAUGCCCCAGGGGCUGCUCACCCAGCCAAAGGUAUUGUAGAACACAAAAGCUGCAGAAAGCAGCACAAAUAAAGUAAAAACGACCCAGGAACUGCCAGGGAGCUUAUCAGCCUGUUUCCUGGUCACAGGUAUGGAGUGUAGAGAGGCACGGGGAGCAUUUCUGGGCCUUGUGAUCGCCUGCACGUUGCCAGGGCCCCUGGUAUUGUGUACAAAGCAUUAACCUGAAAGCUAAGCAAGGCUCUUCACCUUGCAAAACUGACUGAAUGAGUCCAAACUCUUAGAGUUUUUGUGAGGGUUAGAUAGGUUGAUAAGUUAAAGUGCCUACUCUGUGUGUGUGCAUCUAAUAAUGAUAACAGCUGCAGUGGUAAUAACGAUAGCAGCUAAUACUUUCUGAGCAUUUCAUAUAUGCCAAACACUAUUUUAACUGAUUUUUAUAUUAAUUCAUUUAAUCUUCAUAAUGACACUAAGAGGUAGGUAGUACUGUUGUCUUCAUUUUAUAGAUGAGAAAUUUCGCCAAAGCUCAGAGAUGUUAAGUAAUUUCCUUAAGAUGGCACAGCACAUGAAAAGACAAUCUGGCAUUUGAACCUGGCACUCUGGUUGUGAAACACUGGUCUAUAGCCACGUUGCUACCCAUUUCUUCCUCCUAGCCUUUGGAAUAUUGUGUUCCCCUAAUUAUUAUGGUAGUGAGGACAACCAGGUGAUCAUGAUGAAGAUGAGGAUGACGACGAUGACAGUGAUGGCGGUGGUGAAGGAGGAAGACAUGCCCUCAUUUCGUAUAGCAAUCUGCUUCUUGCUGGGAUUUCAAAUCCAUUUUCAUUGUUGAUCCUGAGAGCAAGCCUUGGAGGGGGAGUCAUUUUGAAAUCCCAGGAAACUGGGUCUUAAGAGGCGGCUGAAGACCCAUGCAGUCAUGCGGUGGAGUCUGCGAGGCCCAGAGCGGAAGAGGAGGACAUGGGUGUAGCAGCCCACACUGCUGUGCCUACAGCUCUGGAUCCUGACUGUGUGAGUGGGCCCAAGGCUGCUGGAACCUCUGGGGCUAUAGCAAGAAGGGUGAGGAAGUUGCCCCACUCCUGCUGCCUUCAUGAACAUUGGUUGUUCCCUCAGGACAGGAAAUUGAGGCUGUUCCCUUGACCUCUCCAGACAGUUAGUGGUGACUUCAAGUCCUCUUAUGAGAUGGUGGAUCAUAGCUACUGUUGAUUGAGAGCCAGUGUUGGUGCUCUGUGUUCACCUGGUUCAUCUGAGGGACUGCAUCUACCCUGCCCUUGCCAUAGUUCCUGCCCUGUUUGCUUCUCCUGUUGCUGCUAGUGGACAUUAGGUAACCACAGCCUAGUUCUGUGAUGAGCUCUUCACACCUGUGCCCAUAUGGACUGUGGGAGAGUUUCUCUGAUAUGGACCAUGAUGCGGAAAACAGUGACGCACCGGACUCAGGUGAUAGCCCCAGCAGUAACAUCGAUGCAGAGAAAACUGAAUACUUUUCCAAGAGACCAGAAGACACAUGAAGCUAGAAAAAGGAGCCCAGAAAACUGCCACAUUUUACCCAUAUAGAAAAGCAUAUCCUGGCCGGGCGCAGUGGCUCACGCCUAUAAUCCCAGCACUUUGGAAGGCCAAGGUGGGCGGAUCACAAGGUCAGGAGUUCGAGACCAGCCUGGCCAAUAUGGAAACUGCCGAAUUGUCUUCCAAAGUGGCUAUAUCAUUUUGCAUUCCCACCAACAAUGAGAGUCCCUGUUGCUGCAAAUCCUCCACCAGAAUCUGGUACUCAUGUUUUGGAUUUCAGCAUUCUAAUAGAAGGACAGAAUAAUGGGCUCCAGAUUCACAAGCCCCACCAAGAGGAUCACCCCAGGAACGCUUGGAGGCUGAGGAGUUCACUGAAGCUAGUGCAUCUUGAGACUCAGGAUGAAGACCCAACUUGGGGCUGUCAAAGAGGCUUGAAGAGGCAGAACACCCAAGAGGAGUCCGGGGCCACCACCCAGCGUCACUGUGGGAAAACGGCAGCAGGAAAUGUCCUCUCACCCGCGUGCUCCACCUCUGUCCACACCUUCCCUCCUUCUGGAAGCCUUGCCUGACCACUGGCCUGCCCCUUCUAUGGGAAUCACUGCUGACCUUGCAGCUCACUGUAGACUUAUAUGUAUGCAGAAAUAUAAUUUUAAUUACUUUUGUAUUGCUCCAAGAGUGAUACCGAAUCACAACAGAAAAUUUAAAUAAACAAAAUAGCCAAAUUAUUACAAGUAAUCACCCCAGUCAAAUAUACCCAGCUCACAUUUUGAUGUAAAAUCUUCCAGUACGUUUCCUAUGUACAUAUAUUUUUAGGAAGGAGAUUAUAUUUUACAUGCUGUUUUCUAAAACGUUCUUUUAAAACUGUGUCAUAAACAACUUUCCUUAUAAUUAGUCUUCUACAACAAAAUUUGCUAAUGAAUUUUUUUUUUUAUCACGGUCACUGUUGUGUUAUGUACAUCUUAGUUUAGCAUCCUCAGUUACAUUGUAAGCAUUUUAAGCACUCAGUUUCCCCAGCCAGCCUCUGGGUGGAUUUGUUCAUUGAUUGAUGGCUGUGUGGGGUGGAGGAGGGAAGUAGAAAGUGAGUGAGAUUUGGGUAAGCAAACCUGGGUUUAAAUGCUGAGUUUGCAAAUUCCAUAAAUUCUGCUUCCCUCCCUCCCUCCCUCCCUCCCUUCCUUCCUUCUUUCUUCCAUCUUUCCUUCCUCCCUCCCUCCAUUCCUCCCUCCUUUCCUUCCCUCCUUGCUGAAACAAAUGACUUGUUAGAUAUUUUAUAUACUAAUGUAAAUAUGCACUCAUUUAAAUAUCAUGUGGGCACCUCCUCUGAGUGGCCCUGAGCUUGGUUCUGGGGAUGUGGCACUGCACAAGGGAAACCAGGUCUCUGCUCUCAUGGAGCUUGAUGCAUCCAGUUGGGGGCACAGACCCAAAUCAAGCCAACAGACAAAACCUAAGCAGGCCACUAACUUGUGUUUAAGUACAACAUCCACAUGGACGGGAAUGAGAAUUACAGGGGACCACACUUGAACUGGGGUCCAGCAAAGCCCUCUCUGGGGAGGUGACAGUCAAGCCCAGACCUAAAGAAGCCUGCUGCAGGGAGGAUGGAAAAGACAUUCUGACAAAGCCCUUGAGAUCGGGAAGGCUUUGGCUUAGAUGAGGAACUUCAGUUGGUCAUCCCCUCUCUCAUCCAUCCUAUUGAAACCACCUUUGCAAAAAGUGUAUCAGUGAGAAAAUUAUUUGCAAAAAAUUUUCAAAAGGUUUAUCAGUGAGAAAAUUACAACAGUAAGCUAAGCUAACCCAGCCUCCAUCUUGCCUUUCCCUUAAUUAUUCCUGGGCUAUUGGGUCAAGCUAACUUUGGAAGAUAUUUAGGCUACGGUUUAAAUGAUAAUAAGCCUUGCCCAAAACUCAACCACUUUUGUAAAGCUAAUAGGGGACCAUCAGGGUGUGGGGAGAAGAGCCUGAAUCCUACUAAGGUGCAGACAUUAUUCCAGAGUUUAUAAGAUAUGCAACUUUCCCAAUAUAACACUACUGUUAUAGAUUGGCCUUUUGAGAUAUCUUUCCAGGUUUUUUGCAUAUUUGACUCCCGUGGCUCCACCUGGAUCUGAUGGCUCCACCCAGAAGCAAUUCAGCCCCACAGGAAGACAGCUUCAACCUAUUACCAUUUCCUCUCUGCCCCAACCAGUCAGCAGCAAGCACCUGUUACCUGUCCACCCCCACCCCUUCCCCCAAACUGCCUUUGAAAAAUCGCUAACCUAUGAGCUUUGAACAAGAUGAUAUGAGUAUGAACUCCAUCUCCCGCGUGGCAUGGCUGGCCUCGUGUCUAUUAAAUUCUUU